rnacentral:other from 1 species
GCGGUGCUGCGGGGUGCGUGAGAACAACUGUAUUCCCGGGGCCUUAACGAUCCUUAGGGAGCUGUCCCUGUUUUGGUCCGUGGACCGGAGCACACGGCGCCCACCUACUUAUGUAGGCACCUGGGAUCGAUCGUUCCACGGCUUUUGCGGCUCCGCA